rnacentral:rRNA from 1 species
GGAAACGACCAUACCAACAUGACAACACCGCUUCCCUUCCGCUCAGCGAAGUUAAGCAUGUUGGUGCCUGUUUAGUACUACGGUGGGGGACCACGUUGGAUUCCCAGGUGUUGUUCUGU